GGACUACCGGGGUUUCUAAUCCUGUUUGAUCCCCACGCUUUCGUGCAUCAGUGUCAAUAUUCGCGUAGCCAGCUGCCUUCGCAAUUGGUGUUCUAUGUCAUAUCUAAGCAUUUCACCGCUACAUGACAUAUUCCGCUGACCUCCACGGUAUUCAAGAUCAAUAGUAUCAAUGGCAGUUCCCAAGUUAAGCUCGGGGAUUUCACCACUGACUUAUCAACCCACCUACGCACCCUUUAAACCCAGUGAAUCCGGAUAACGCUUGCACCCUCCGUAUUACCGCGGCUGCUGGCAC
rnacentral:rRNA from 2 species